GGGCUGGCUGUCCCCAGAACACUGUGUUUGUUUUGAGGAAGAGUCACACUGUAGCUGAGCUUCAAACAGAAGGCCUAAAAACAAGAAAAGCAGCCAAGCAAAUAUCCAAUUGCCUCUGUGCACAGCUCUGGAAAAAAAAUCAAAUCCUGGGAUGGGGACAUCAUACACCCAUCUUUCACGUUCCCAAGGUUUAGAGGAAAGUUUCAAGAUUCCCAAUGAAAACAGUGCUUGAAGCAACUGCUCACGCCUGAGAUGUCCCUGCUUGUGUGACAGGCCUGAGCACAGAGAUUUACUGCCAGCUGACAUUUUGCCACUCUUUUACAUAAGAGACCAAGCUAGGAAAAACACAGUGCACACAGAUGACACUUAUUCUAUUUUGGAAAGAUUUUAGUGACUUUUUUUCCCACUAUACACUAUUACACAUGAAAUUCAUAAAGGGCUUUGAAAGAAGUAUUUCAUUGUAGUUAACAUGGUGAGACACUGAACUUCCAGGAACACUGGCACAUUAUAAAAGUAAUUUGUAAAACACCAUCCCUAUGGUCAGGGGAGCUGCAGUUACCCCACCCAGCUGUGUAUAACACACACCUUUAGUUACCCAGGUGCCCUUCCUUCUUUCUACUCAGAUGAUACUGAGAAAUCAGAAAUGCCUUGCA